AUGGACGAAAGUCUGACCGAGCAACGCCGCGUGAGUGAAGAAGGUUUUCGGAUCGUAAAACUCUGUUGUUAGAGAAGAACAAGGAUGAGAGUAACUGUUCAUCCCUUGACGGUAUCUAACCAGAAAGCCACGGCUAACUACGUGCCAGCAGCCGCGGUAAUACGUAGGUGGCAAGCGUUGUCCGGAUUUAUAAGGGCGUAAAGCGAGCGCAGGCGGUUUCUUAAGUCUGAUGUGAAAGCCCCCGGCUCAACCGGGGAGGGUCAUUGGAAACUGGGAGACUUGAGUGCAGAAGAGGAGAGUGGAAUUCCAUGUGUAGCGGUGAAAUGCGUAGAUAUAUGGAGGAACACCAGUGGCGAANGCGGCUCUCUGGUCUGUAACUGACGCUGAGGCUCGAAAGCGUGGGGAGCAAACAGGAUUAGAUACCCUGGUAGUCCACGCCGUAAACGAUGAGUGCUAAGUGUNGGAGGGUNUCCGCCCUUCAGUGCUGCAGCUAACGCAUCAAGCACUCCGCCUGGGGAGUACGACCGC
rnacentral:rRNA from 1 species